GGGUAGGUUGAUCAUCAAUAUCGCGAUUCUCGUCGGGUAGGCGUAAAAUAAGGGAGUUGAGAAAAAAAGCGGAGAGAGAGAAAGGUCUGGGAAACUGCCUGAUGGAGGGGGAUAACUACUGGAAACGGUAGCUAAUACCGCAUGACCUCGCAAGAGCAAAGUGGGGGACCUUCGGGCCUCACGCCAUCGGAUGUGCUCUUCAUGGGAUUAGCUAGUAGGUGGGGUAAUGGCUCACCUACGCGACUAUCCCUAUCUGGUCUGAGAGGAUGACCAGCCUCACUGGAACUGAGACACGGUCCCCACCCCUACGGGAGGUUA
rnacentral:rRNA from 1 species